rnacentral:misc_RNA from 1 species
CGGUGCUCAGUAAGAGCUUUCUGGAAUGUCUCAAUGGCAAGAUCAUAGUCUUUUGAGCAUUUUGCAAUUUUCACCAAGGUAGUUCCCUUCCUUGUCAAGGCUCUUGAAAUCAUCUUGAAGUCUGAUCUAAGUUCUCUACCCCUCUCAACAGCUUUAUCACAGUCUUCUAUACAUUCCUCGUACUUGCCCAUCUCAAGAUAAACAGCAGCACGAUUUGUCAAAUAUGAAAUAUCCUCGUCGUCAAGCUCCAUUGCCUUCGUGUAAUGCGCAAUUGCAGUCUCGAAAUCCUUUUUUU